rnacentral:lncRNA from 1 species
GAGAAACUCAGUCACAUAGGUAGCUGCACCGAGAGGUUCAUCUUCAAUUUUGAUGGGUUGCCACCACAAACUGCUAGGUGUCACUGGUGGAUUUUGAGAGCAAUUAGAAUGAUAUUGAUGAUCGAUCAUUCUAAUUGUCUGAAUCAGAAGAGUUCUGGUCCAUCGAAAGGAGUUUCGAUGAUGUCGAUGAUGAGAUCAUGACAUAUCUCAUUAC